GACGAACCGAGCGAACGUUGUUCGGAAUCACUGGGCUUAAAGGGUGCGUAGGCGGCGGCGCAAGUUGGGUGUGAAAUCCCUCGGCUCAACCGAGGAACUGCGCUCAAAACUGCGUCGCUUGAGGGAGAUAGAGGUGAGUGGAACUUAGGGUGGAGCGGUGAAAUGCGUUGAUAUCCUAAGGAACACCAGUGGCGAAAGCGACUCACUGGGUCUCUUCUGACGCUGAGGCACGAAAGCUAGGGUAGCAAACAGG
rnacentral:rRNA from 1 species